rnacentral:rRNA from 1 species
CCUACGGGUGGCAGCAGUGAGGAAUAUUGGUCAAUGGGCGCGAGCCUGAACCAGCCAAGUCGCGCGAGGGAAGACGGUCCUAUGGAUUGUAAACCUCUUUUGUCGGGGAGCAAAAGACGCCACGCGUGGCGUUCCGCGAGUACCCGAAGAAAAAGCAUCGGCUAACUCCGUGCCAGCAGCCGCGGUAAUACGGAGGAUGCGAGCGUUAUCCGGAUUUAUUGGGUUUAAAGGGUGCGCAGGCGGAAGAUCAAGUCAGCGGUAAAAUUGAGAGGCUCAACCUCUUCGAGCCGUUGAAACUGGUUUUCUUGAGUGAGUGAGAAGUAUGCGGAAUGCGUGGUGUAGCGGUGAAAUGCAUAGAUAUCACGCAGAACUCCGAUUGCGAAGGCAGCAUACCGGCGCGCAACUGACGCUCAUGCACGAAAGUGUGGGUAUCGAACAGGAUUAGAUACCCGGGUAGUC